rnacentral:piRNA from 1 species
UCACAGGGUCUGGUACAUUGCUAGUGGGU